AGGACGAACGCUGGCGGCGUGCUUAACACAUGCAAGUCGAGCGGAAAGGCCCUUCGGGGUACUCGAGCGGCGAACGGGUGAGUAACACGUGAGUAAUCUGCCCCUAGCUCUGGGAUAGCUCCGGGAAACCGGGAUUAAUACCGGAUAUGACCCCUUCGGACAUCUGAAGGGGUGGAAAGAUUUAUCGGCUAGGGAUGAGCUCGCGGCCUAUCAGCUUGUUGGUGGGGUAACGGCCCACCAAGGCGACGACGGGUAGCCGGCCUGAGAGGGCGACCGGCCACACUGGGACUGAGACACGGCCCAGACUCCUACGGGAGGCAGCAGUGGGGAAUAUUGCGCAAUGGGCGAAAGCCUGACGCAGCGACGCCGCGUGGGGGAUGAAGGCCUUCGGGUUGUAAACCCCUUUCAGCAGGGACGAAGCGAAAGUGACGGUACCUGCAGAAGAAGCGCCGGCUAACUACGUGCCAGCAGCCGCGGUAACACGUAGGGCGCAAGCGUUGUCCGGAAUUAUUGGGCGUAAAGAGCUCGUAGGCGGUCUGUUGCGUCCGCUGUGAAAACUCGGGGCUUAACCCCGAGCCUGCAGUGGAUACGGGCAGACUAGAGGUAGGUAGGGGAGAAUGGAAUUCCCGGUGUAGCGGUGAAAUGCGCAGAUAUCGGGAGGAACACCGGUGGCGAAGGCGGUUCUCUGGGCCUUACCUGACGCUGAGGAGCGAAAGCGUGGGGAGCGAACAGGAUUAGAUACCCUGGUAGUCCACGCCGUAAACGUUGGGCGCUAGGUGUGGGAUCCUUCCACGGAUUCCGUGCCGCAGCUAACGCAUUAAGCGCCCCGCCUGGGGAGUACGGCCGCAAGGCUAAA
rnacentral:rRNA from 1 species